GGGAUCUUAGCUUAAUAGGUAGAGUUUUUAAUUGUCAUUUAGAAGGGUUCCAGUUCGAAUCUGGAAGAUCUCG
rnacentral:tRNA from 1 species